UAAGGGACUGUUCAAUAUUUAUCAGAUGGAUGGGCCGGUGCAAAAUGGGGCGGGGCAAGCACUUUUUUUGUGGAAAUAUUUGGAUGGGCGAGAACUUUUUUUAAUAUAAUAUAAUGGAUGGGCUAGAACUUAUUUUAUUUGAAAAAAAUUUGCUUUCAAUUUUAUCGGUGUGUAGGAAAUUCCUUUUGCAGGCACAAAAAACAUAAGGGACAUGGUCUCAACAAUAAUUUUCAGUUUAGGCCAAAUCCAGAUAGUCAUCUUUAAAUUUUUUUAUAACUUUU
rnacentral:lncRNA from 1 species